CAUCAAAAGCUUCUGAUCAAGGGUCCUGAAAUUUUCUUCUUGAAUUUCUUUGUACUGAACUGAAUUUUCUUUUAAGAUAACAAAGAUCAUAAUUUUAAGGUGUUAAUAUCAGCAGUCUAAUUUAACUCUUACAAUGGAUGUACACGUACUUGAAACAAAUGUGAAUCAUGUUUUUCUUAAAAAACAGGGUGAUAAAGUGACUUAAGUGAUCAUGCAUGUUUCUCAUCCCUGAGAUUAAUAUAGCUAUUUUACUUAUUUACUAGCUGGCAUAG